AUUGAACGCUGGCGGCAGGCCUAACACAUGCCAGUCGAGCGGAUGAAGGGAGCUUGCUCCUGGAUUCAGCGGCGGACGGGUGAGUAAUGCCCAGGAAUCUGCCUGGCAGUGGGGGAUAACGUCCGGAAACGGGCGCUAAUACCGCAGACGUCCUGAGGGAGAAAGUGGGGGAUCUUCGGACCUCACGCUAUCAGAUGAGCCUAGGCCGGAUUAGCUAGUUGGUGGGGUAAAGGCCUACCAAGGCGACGAUCCGUAACUGGUCUGAGAGGAUGAUCAGUCACACUGGAACUGAGACACGGUCCAGACUCCUACGGGAGGCAGCAGUGGGGAAUAUUGGACAAUGGGCGAAAGCCUGAUCCAGCCAUGCCGCGUGUGUGAAGAAGGUCUUCGGAUUGUAAAGCACUUUAAGUUGGGAGGAAGGGCAGUAAGUUAAUACCUUGCUGUUUUGACGUUACCAACAGAAGAAGCACCGGCUAACUUCGUG
rnacentral:rRNA from 1 species